AACCUGUGAUGAAAAGAUUCUGCCAAAUGAAUACUGAUUAUACACCUUACCGUUCCACUUAUAUCUGAGGUU
ensembl:snoRNA